UCAUCCCAAUUCACCUAUUACAUUUUAUCUCAUAAAUUAAACCCUAAUUCGUGUCUUCUCCAUUUCUCCUCAGUUCACUCCACUGCCGUCGCGCUGUCUUCGCUCUACUGCCGCUAUGCCGUCUUCGCUCUACUGCCGCUAUGUCCAUCGUCUCUCCGUCACACUCGCGUCGCCGUCACACUCGUGUCACCGUUGCUCUGUCCUUCAGUUACUCUCUCUCUUUCUCUUUGCUCAGUUUCAUUCUUCAACUCUAAAACCUCCAUUGAUGAUUGACCUAAAACUCAUCAAUUUGAGAAUUCAGUGCCGUCUUUCAACCUUCACGGAUGAACUACAACUGAGUUCAACUUCUCAUUGUUGCAUUAUGAAGAGGCUCUUCUGCUGAUUUGAAAUGCAAACCAGGAGACAAGGAGACAGUUCAGAAGGUCUGUGACAUAGUCAAGAAGCAAUUGGCACUGCCAGAGGGUUCAAGUGUCACUGGAGAGUCCAAGUUUGCUGCCUUUGGAGCUGAUUCUCUUUACACAGUAUUUUCACAUUUUCUUAAACUUCAUCUCUGAAUUUAUAAUAAUCGCCAUUCUUGAUUGUAUCUUUCAUCUAUGCAUGUCUUUGUUGAAAAUUUUAUAUGUUAUCAGUCCUUUUCAUGGUACUCUCUCUCAUUAUGGAGGGAUGAAAGGUUCUUUA